ACAUACGGCCAUAGGUUGGUGGAAGCAAGGGAUCCUGUCCGCUCUCCCAUAUUUAAGCACCGAACCGCAAGACUAGUACUACGGUGGGUGACCACGUGGGAAUCCCUUGUGCUGUAUGUU
rfam:Dothistroma septosporum NZE10 unplaced genomic scaffold DOTSEscaffold_7, whole genome shotgun sequence.